CAAUAGCGUAUAUUAAAGUUGUUGCAGUUAAAAAGCUCGUAGUUGGAUUUGUGGCGUACGGUGUGUUCCGGGCACUUGUUGUCUGAGUAACCUGCUGUUGCCAUCCUUGGGUGGAACCUGUGUGGCAUUAGGUUGUCGUGCAGGGGAUGCCCAUCAUUUACUGUGAAAAAAUUAGAGUGUUCAAAGCAGGCUUAUGCCGUUGAAUAUAUUAGCAUGGAAUAAUGAGAUAGGACUUUUUUGCUAUUUUGUUGGUUUGCGCAAAGAGGUAAUGAUUAACAGGGACAGUUGGGGGUAUUCGUAUUCCAUUGUCAGAGGUGAAAUUCUUGGAUUUUUGGAAGACGAACUACUGCGAAAGCAUUUACCAAGGAUGUUUUCAUUAA
rnacentral:rRNA from 1 species